UCCGAGUUGACCCCGGCAGUCUCCUACGAGUCCCCGGCAUUACCCGCUGGCAACAUAGAAUAAGGGUUGCGCUCGUUGCGGGACUUAACCCAACAUCUCACGACACGAGCUGACGACAGCCAUGCACCACCUGUUAUGGGCCCUUUCGGACACCGUAUCUCUACAGCUUUUCCCAUAAUGUCAAACCCAGGUAAGGUUCUUCGGGUCGCAUCGAAUUAAUCCACAUAAUCCACCGCUUGUGCGGGUCCCCGUCAAUUCCUUUGAGUUUUAACCUUGCGGCCGUACUCCCCAGGCGGUCAACUUCACGCGUUAGCUUCGUUACCAAGGAAUUGCUUCCCCGACAACCAGUUGACAUAGUUUAGGGCGUGGACUAC
rnacentral:misc_RNA from 1 species